rnacentral:lncRNA from 1 species
UGAUGAUCUGAUUAGAUAGACAACUAUUAUACUUGCUAUAAUUACCUUUGCUUGAAGAUCUCAUUAUAAGAUAAAUAAAUAUUUGCAGCAAGAUUUUUGCACUACAAAUGUUCUGCUAUAUAAAAUACAAUACUCAUCUUUAUAAAAAAUAGAAUAUAAUAGUCACUCAAGAAGCAGGUAAGCUUGACUUUUCGAUACAUGUGGUCGCAUUAGGCGUUCUAUGCAGGUCUUGCAAAUGAAGUCAGCACUUUUAAUUAUUUGCAGUUUGAAUUAGCACUUCCAACAGAUGUAUGUUCUCUAAGGUUAUUGCUAAAUCUUUUACCAUUACUCUAAUUCCUCUUUAUAGAUAAUUUUGGAUGCUGAAACUUAAAAUAUAGUACGUGAGAGGCAUCGUCCUGCAACUCAAGAACUUAAUGUAGUAAUGUCUUCAUCACAGAAGCUUAUUGGUUAACUAAAUACUUGCACAUCCUUUGUAAAAUAAGAUAGUUGCACCCUAUUCUAUCGUCAAUUGCAAAUCCAAAGAUAUCAAAUCUCACCUACUAAAAUAUUUGAAAAAUUCAUUCUACUCUGUCCAACAUUUGUGUCCAAAAAUUUAUUCUACUCUGUCCAUUAAUAUGGUCUAUUUACAAGUAAAGAUCUUUAAAUGAGAGGAAGGAGUGCUCAGAUUUCUCAAGGAGAUACAACGAUCCUGAAUGAUAACACAAAAAUCAUGCAAAAUAUUUGACUAUGCUGAUUAUGAGAUGGUAACCUAUUCUAUCUGGUUCAUCUUUACCUAUCAUGUGGUUUCUAAAUCAGUAUGUUAUUCAUGAAGUAGGGAUCAUUGAUUCUUUUAGUUGCUGGAGUUGCCCUCUCCUAUGCUGCAGCUUGGAAAUUGAAUUCUUUUUUCUGACUGACGAGAAAACUCUUCGAGGUCCAUGAUUUUCUGCUUGAUUUUCGCAAUACAUAUUUUUCUAAGUGUAGUAGUAAUUGGCCAAUGUAUUCUGCGUAAUGGGUUGGGAAAAAAGGAAGGUUUUUGCAUAUAAUCUCCUUUGUCACUCUACUAAUUUAGGAUUUAGGAUUUAGGCUGGCUAUUUCUACAAGUAUGUGACUUCUUGUUAUGUGUGUUGUAGUUUUUUCUCCUCAAAUAAUCUGUGUAACUGUAUGUCUUGGAGUUUUUCCUGCCACGUUUAAAAUUUAUUUGGUUAACAGUAUAGUAAGCCUAUAAGAUGUGCUUGUAAGCCACAUUUCUUUUGCUUUGCUUGGAGCAGUGAGGUUAUGACUCUUUCUGUUGAUGACCUUUGUUAAUGGAGUCUCUGUAAAAGUUAACCCUUUUCUUCUUUCUUUUUUUUUUUGAAAAGGUAACCCUUUUGUUCUUUCGUGGAACUUCCAUACUUAUGUAGAAUUUUGGAUGUCAUAAUCCUGUGUGAAUUUGAAAAUCUUCUUAUAAAUGAGCGCAUGUGUGUGCAGUGUAUAUUAGCUCUGACUCCCUGAAUCAUUGUAUUAUCAGUAGAUAGAUCAUUGUUCUUUUCACUAUUGAAAAUGCACAGGCUAAAGUGUAUCUUUGGGAAUUUAUUUCUAUUAAUGUUCAAGGGGUAGUAUAUUUAGCCUUCUGAAUAAAUGUUCAAUUGGAAUGCUUUAAAUUCUUUCUGUUGCCUUAUAGAUUAUUUGUGGCUGGCUUUCCUUUUCCUUCCCUUCACUUUUUCCCCCUUCAUUUUUCCAGUUUUAUUUGGUGGUUUUGUGUACUUCCACGCUAUAUUGAUUCAAUCCUUUAAAAAGUAGAUGAUAAUUCAAUUGCUCUCACUUUAAUAAUGUAGGUUGUAGAUCUGGUACUAAAGUUUAUGCGCAUAAUCCUUUCUUGGUUCAUAAUUCAUUUUUCAUUUUACAAAUUAUUCUCUAUGCACCUGUAAUUGAUUCAUUUUUAUUCCUAUUACUCUUUUGAAUGCAGUGCCCUCCAGAUCUUUAACUUGUGAAAUGUAAUCGGAUUAUCCAAGGAUAAUUUUUCUCCAAAAUCCAUUACUUCUUCGGUGACUAUCCAGAUUUAACGCGUUGAAGGGCUUUCCCACUUAACAUCUAUUUAUUGUAGUUCUAAUGUAUGUUAGUUUUCCCUCAAGCAUGGACAUACGUAUAGUUGGCUAUUCUUAAUAUUACAUAUGGAUGAAUAUGCUUUUGUAUAUGUAUUUUGUGGAGGGAAGUGGUGGACUGAGUGAUGGACACUUGUAAAUGGUGACUGCGAAUAGAUUUUACAGUCAUAAAAGUAUAUUAUAGUGUUGCAGUAGAUGUUGGAUAAUCAAAGUCAAUAAUUUGUUGGACUUGAUUGUAAUUUUAUCCAAGCACUAUGGUUGUGAUCUUUUUUCACUUAUAUGUUGUAGAGCUUUGCUCAUCGUAUAUAGUAUGAAACUUUAACAUGUUGGUUGAAAA